GGUGGGCUCAGUGGUAGAGCACUUGCCUACCGUGCAUCAGGCCCUGGGCUCAAUCCCCAGUACUACCA
rnacentral:tRNA from 1 species